rnacentral:rRNA from 1 species
GCCUAACACAUGCAAGUCGAGCGCGAAAGUUCCUUCGGGGAUGAGUAAAGCGGCGGACGGGUGAGUAACGCGUAGGAAUUUGCCCAGUAGUGGGGGACAACUCGGGGAAACUCGAGCUAAUACCGCAUACGCCCCACGGGGGAAAGCAGGGGAUCUUCGGACCUUGCGCUAUUGGAUAAGCCUGCGUCGGAUUAGCUAGUUGGUAGGGUAAAGGCCUACCAAGGCGACGAUCCGUAGCUGGUCUGAGAGGAUGAUCAGCCACACUGGGACUGAGACACGGCCCAGACUCCUACGGGAGGCAGCAGUGGGGAAUAUUGGACAAUGGGGGCAACCCUGAUCCAGCCAUGCCGCGUGUGUGAAGAAGGCCCUAGGGUUGUAAAGCACUUUCAGUGGGGAGGAAAAGCUGACGGCUAAUACCCGUCGGCCAUGACGCUACCCACAGAAGAAGCACCGGCUAACUCCGUGCCAGCAGCCGCGGUAAU